rnacentral:rRNA from 1 species
AUGGCGGAUCUCAAGACCGCCGCCUACCAAGCCGACCACGUCCUCGAAAACUUCCGCUAUGAGGCGCUGCGGUGCUGUGCCGACGACCACAUCCGCGGCCCCUUCUCCGCAAUGAAGCAUGAUAAGCAAGCGGAGAAGGAUUAUGAAGAGGAGGAAGACAAUGAGGAGGACGAGGAUGAGCAAGGUACUGUGUUUGAGGAGGAGGAAGAUUCUCAUUUUGAUGUCAAAGCGCCAAGUGUUAUGCUAUGCAAAAUUGCAUUGUUUGGCUAUCAACGUUCAAUAUUUUUGCUGUAUAAAGUUCAAAGGAGGAGCUGUCCAAAAUUCAAAAGCAAUGAUGCCCAAUUCUUUUCAUCACUAUGA